rnacentral:lncRNA from 1 species
GGGGUCUCUGGGCUCCGGGAGAUGGCUGGCAAGGUCCGGCGCGACGAGAUGAGUCUCCCUGUGGCCUCGGUUCGCUUCGGGGGCGCCGGAGUUGAGCUCUAGCUCCUCAGAACGACGGCGAGCGGCGCGCUUCGGUUCGACGAUGAUGGCGACUCUACGGGGUGUAAAACGAAGAAGUAGUCGUGUCAAAACGUGUGCAAUGGAAAGAUGAAGUAUAGGGGGUUGGGUUUAGGUCUAGGUCUCACCUUGUUGCCGGCAGUGACCAAAAAUGGGCGGCGCCCGUGGCGAACUCUUGCGAGAGAUUUCGGCAGCCUGGGGGCGCAAUAGGGAAGGCAACUAGAGGGGAAAGAGAGAGGAGGGUGCGGGCUUUAUAGAGACGCAAAAGGCAACUCGCGGGGAGCACGGGAUUGAUGGCAGCGGCGGUGAUGGCGCUCGCGGAUCCGGCGCGGGGCGGAGAUUCCGGCGGUGAUUGAGGAAGGAGACGACUGACAGGUGGGGUCCCCUGUCAGCGGCUGCGGUCGGGUGCGGGUAAGUAGGCCGGUUCGGCCCAAGACGGCCGGGCCGGUCUGGUUCUCUUUUUUUUUGUUCUUUUCUUUUCCCUUUUUCUUUUUCUGUUUUUCCUCUAUUACUUUUGAUUUUUAACUCCAAAUCUAACCAAAUAAAUUCCAGAAAAGUUCUAAAAUCAUAUAUUUAUAUGAUACAACUUCUGGGAAUGAUUUCCCCUCAAAAUAAAAUAUUUAAAAUAGUUUUGCUUAUAAGAUUACCUUUAGGGCUUUAUAAAUAAUAAACAAAAUAGUUUUUCUACUCAAAUUUAAACACCAAAAUAUGGGGUAGCUUAAUAAUGCAAUAAACCCAUUUUAUUAUCAAACCACAUUGGAUUGAAACACAAAUUGCAAAAAGAGAAGAUAAGAUGCAACGAUCAAAUAGAAAAAGAUUUGCUUUUGAGAUUUUGAAUUCAAAACUUAAAAUAUGUUUAAAAUGCACAAGUGGCAUGAUGCUCAUGAAUGCAAAUGCAUGAUGCAAAGUUUGAAAAUUUUGGG